UACGGAGGGGACUAGCGUUGUUCGGAAUUACUGGGCGUAAAGCGCACGUAGGCGGAUUUGUAAGUCAGGGGUGAAAUCCCGGGGCUCAACCUCGGAACUGCCUUUGAUACUGCAAAUCUCGAGUCCGGAAGAGGUGAGUGGAAUUCCUAGUGUAGAGGUGAAAUUCGUAGAUAUUAGGAGGAAUACCGGUGGCGAAGGCGGCCUUCUGGACCAUUCUUGACGCUGAGACGCGAAAGCGUGGGGAGCAAACAGG
rnacentral:rRNA from 1 species